rnacentral:rRNA from 1 species
UACGAAGGGGGCUAGCGUUGCUCGGAAUCACUGGGCGUAAAGGGUGCGUAGGCGGGUCUUUAAGUCAGGGGUGAAUCCUGGAGCUCGAACUCCAGAACUGCCUUUGAUACUGAGGAUCUUGAGUUCGGGAGAGGUGGAGUGGAACUGCGAAGUGUAGAGGUGAAAUUCGUAGAUAUUCGUCAAGAACACCAGUGGCGAAGGCGGCUCACUGGCCCGAUACUGACGCUGAGGCAGAAAGCGUGGGGAGCAAACGGGAGUAAGAA